rnacentral:lncRNA from 1 species
CUUUUUAGAAAUGUCAUUAUUCAAGAAAAAUGCACAAUGGGAAGAAUCUUAACAACAGCACUUUGUUACUUCAGCCUCUCACUAGAGGAUGAAAAUCGUUCUGCAUAAAGGCCUGGGCUUUAUGAAAAAUAUAUUCACACCUCCCGUGUCCGAGCUGGGAUACCAAAGAAGUUCCUGGUUGAGUACUACUUAUGAAUGAAGGAUUCAGGGGAUGCACAGAGGAAUCUGGGGGAUAUUAUGGUUCUGGGAAUGUGGAAUGUAACGUCUCAUCUUCAGCCCAUCUGUGCUACUGAUCAUCUCAUUCCAGAAGCCAUGCCUUCUCUCAGGAGCAGACAGCACAAGACUUUCCUGCCAGAGGCACAGUCCCCAGUGGGAGUAGCAUCCACAUAAGACAGGAUGCAGAGAUGUCUUCAAGCAGCUUCAAACAAAACUUCAAGAAAGAAAGUGCAAGUGAAAAAGGAAAUUCAUCCUUCCAGUCACUUAACACAGCACUGUCACGGACACCUUGUGCCUCCUUAAAAUUCGUAUACUGAAGUUCUAAGCCCCAGUACCCCAGAAUGUGACCUUCUUUGGAAAUAGGGUCAUUGCAGAUAUGAUUAGUUAAGAGGAGAUCAUACUGGAGUGGGCUUUAAUCCAAUAUGACUGGUGUCCUUAUGUAAAGGGGAAAUUUGGACACAGACACACACAAGGAGAACACCAUGUGAACUGAAGUCAAAGAUUUGGGUGAUGCUUCUACAAGCCAAGAAAUGCCAAAGAUGACCAGCAAAGCACCGGCAGCUGGUGGAGGAGCCUGGACCAGAUUCUUCCUCACAGCCCUCAAAAGGAACCAAUCUUGCCAAAGCUUUGACUUAGACUUCUAGCCCCCUGUGAUGGUUAAUGUUAAGUGGCAGCUUGACUGGGUUAAGGGAUGCCCAGAUAGCUGGUAAGACAGUAUGUCUGUGUGCAUCUCUCAGAGUGUUUCUGGACAAGAUCAGCAUUUGAAUCCUUAGAGUAAAGAAGAUCUGCCCUCACCCACGUGCAUCACCCUAUCUCUGGAGAGCGCGAACAAACAGGAGGAAGGGCACAUAUGCUCCUUCUGUUCCAGCUGGCACAUCCAUCUUCUCCUGCCCCCUGACUUCAGAGCUCCUGGUUCUCGGGCCUCAGGAUUCCAGCACUUACAUGAGAGCGUGCUUCCCCCUCCCUACUCCACCCCUAGGUUCUCCGCCCUUUGGCCUCUGACUGAAUUCCACCACCAGCUUUUCAGGGUCUCCAGCUUGCAGACGGCAGAUCG